GGAUUAGAUACCCUGGUAGUCCACGCCGUAAACGAUGAGUGCUAGUUGUCAGCAGGCAUGCCUGUUGGUGACGCAGCUAACGCAUUAAGCACUCCGCCUGGGGAGUACGGCCGCAAGGUUAAAACUCAAAGAAAUUGACGGGGGCCCGCACAAGCGGUGGAGCAUGUGGUUUAAUUCGAAGCAACGCGCAGAACCUUACCUACGCUUGACAUGCCCGGUUUGGUCGCCAGAGAUGGCUUCCUUCAUUUAGUUGGCCGGUGCACAGGUGCUGCAUGGCUGUCGUCAGCUCGUGCCG
rnacentral:rRNA from 1 species